UCCAGCAGCGAUUCCAAAUCUGGGGAAGCUCAGCCGGAGCCGUCCAGCUCACCUCCGGCCACCGUGAGGCCCCGCCGUUGGUCGUGCGGCACCGCCGCAGCUCCUCCGCCCGUUUUCGACCCAAGCCGGCGCCGGAUCUGCCCUCUCUCAGCCUCAAACCGCCAUGGACAGCAGCUGCAGAAAAUGGGUAUGGCAGCCCCUUCUUGGCCCGUUUCGGCCGCCUUCCCGAGCCCGGAUGCUCGGCCCGCUUUGAGGAAAGUCGAUCCUCGCGUCGUCCUCGUCGUUUUGGUUCGCUCGGCUCGCUAAUCCGGUGAGUUUAGCUCACUAAACCUUGAUUAGACGGUUAAUGAUGCUUUAUGGGUGCUUAGUUUAUGUUAAGUGUUAUUAGGUGGUUAGUUUGAUUUAUUUAAGAGUAGAUUAUAUUAAGGUGUUUGAUUAACUUAAAUUGUGUUUAAUUUAAGGUUAAGUGAGUGUUUAUAUUAGUAUAAACCUUGAUGUGACAAAGAGGAAUUUACUUUUGACAUCUUCACUAUCACAAAAUAUUGAAUAAGUAAAUAAUAUUUUAAAAUCCGGGAUUAUUAAGAUGUAAUGAUUUCAUUAUUUUCGGAAUCAUUCAAAUUUCUUUAUAAAGUUUCGUAGAAUUUUUGGUUAGACCUUAAAUUUCUGAAAAUUUCGUGGCAGGUCGUUGCAAAGGGGCAGAUCCUUGUGAUUCCUAAUUGGAAGGUAUAAAUGAGCGUGGAAAGUGAAUAUAUGGAUAUAUUAUUUAAUUAUUUUUGGGAAUAAAUUUAAUUAUUAUUAAAUUCCGAAAAUUUUCAUUGGGACCUUAUUGCUCAGAAUUCCGUGCCGAUCGUUGCUGUGCAUUUAGAAUUUGAGAUUGAUGAUUGGGUUGUGAUGAAUUGAGUGUGAUUGUGAUUUAUAUGGAUUCUUUAUGAAAUCCUAAGUGUAGAAACUGAUGGGAGAUUGGCUGUGAAAUACCACCUAUUAGAGGUCGUGCCCGAUGAGGCCGCGAUAUGCCACCUGAUAAAGGUCGCGCCCAGUGGGGCCGUUAUAUGCCACCUGAUAAAGGUCGCGCCCGAUGGGGCCGUUAUAUGCCACCUAUUAGAGGUCGCGCCCGAUGGGGCCGUGAUAUGCCACCUGUUAAAGGUCGCGCCGAGUGGGGCCGUGAUGCCACUGAUUCUAAUUUUGCCGAGUAUGCUUUGACUGUGUGAUAACUAAGAGGAAUCGUCCUGGGCUGCUGAGCCGGACUUGCCCCUAUAUGGGUUGCCCACGCGGUGGAUGCCGAUCGCAGUAGAGGCUGGGCCGACUGGAUCGAUGCUCCUUCGGGAAUGCCGUCGACGUAGAGACGAAGCCGUGCUCCAAGGGGGGAGACGAUGCUCCUUCGGGAAUGCCGUCGACGUACUGACGAAGCCGCGCUCCACGGGGGGAGGCGAUGCCUGGCUAUAUGCCAGUAGAUAGCCGAACUGCGAGUAGGCUAUGCCCUUGUGUGGCAGUGAAUAACAAUUGGAAUGCAUGUUGAGUGUUGUUGAUGUGUCGGAUUAUGGGACGGAAUUGUGUGGCAUGGAAUGGGACGUGUCAUAACGAUUUAGUCUUAUAAUCAGGACCCCCGCGGUUGUUGAAUAUAUGAAAGUGAAUACGUUCCGAUUGUUUAAGUUCCUCUUACUAUCUGUGAUUGAGUGAUUUGAAUUGCGCUAACCUGCAGGAAGGAAUUGAGGCGAGGUAAGUCUUCUGUGUGAUGUGGCUAGGCCACCCGGGGCGUAUUUUCUUUCUAAUAGGGGUUUAGGGGGUUGAACUUGCUGAGACGUGGUCUCAGUGGUUAUUGAAUAACCAUUUCAGGUCCCUAAUGGACGGAGCGGCCAGAUAGCUUUGGUUGGCCUUGAAGAGUUGGAGAAGUGAAGUCAUAAGGAUUGGAGAUCGUGUACGUCUUGUAGGUCGUAGGAUAAUCUCUUUUUAAGAGCCAGUCUUUUGUAGACUUUUGGCCGUAGACCUCUGUUUGUAAUUUCGUUGAUUUACGAAAGUGUUAUGUUGUGAUUUUGUUUCCUGCUUUUCUAUCCCAAGUUAAAUGUUGUCAGGGGAUUUGUUUCGCUUCCGCAUGCGUAAAGAAAUGAAU
rnacentral:lncRNA from 1 species